ACGGGAGGCAGCAGUGGGGAAUUUUGGACAAUGGGCGCAAGCCUGAUCCAGCCAUGCCGCGUGGGUGAAGAAGGCCUUCGGGUUGUAAAGCCCUUUCGGCUGGGACGAAAAGGUCCGCGCUAACACCGCGGAUCCAUGACGGUACCAGCAGAAGAAGCACCGGCUAACUACGUGCCAGCAGCCGCGGUAAUACGUAGGGUGCAGGCGUUAAUCGGAAUUACUGGGCGUAAAGCGUGCGCAGGCGGUCUAUUAAGACAGGUGUGAAAUCCCCGGGCUUAACCUGGGAACUGCGCUUGUAACUGAUAGGCUUGAGUGUGGCAGAGGGGGGUGGAAUUCCACGUGUAGCAGUGAAAUGCGUAGAGAUGUGGAGGAACACCGAUGGCGAAGGCAGCCCCCUGGGCUAACACUGACGCUCAUGCACGAAAGCGUGGGGAGCAAACAGGAUUAGAUACCCUGGUA
rnacentral:rRNA from 1 species